UACGGUGAAUACGUUCCCGGACCUUGUACACACCGCCCGUCAAGCCAUGGAAGCUGGGUGUACCUAAAGUCGAGUAACCGUAAGGAGUCGCCUAGGGUAAAACUAGUAACUGGGGCU
rnacentral:rRNA from 1 species